rnacentral:tRNA from 1 species
GCAUUGGUUGUUCUGUGGUAGAAUUCUCGCCUGCCACGCGGGAGGCCCGGGUUCGAUUCCCUGCCAUUGCA